rnacentral:lncRNA from 1 species
AAAAAUUAGAAACUUAACAAAAACUAGGGUAGUUGGUGGGAGUAUAGUAGUAUGACAUAAACAAAUAACAAGUUCAUUGCUAUAUGAAGUUUCAGGAGCUUCUGGAAGCGGGAAGAGGGAAUCUGCUUGUGUGACAGCAGCCCUUGGCAACACGUGGAGUCACAGUGUCAACACCAGGCUCAUCCUGCAAUAUCAUGACUUGCUGACGAGGCAGGCUUUUUCCUGGGCUCUGUUGCAGCUGAAAAAACAACCCUUGUAAUCUACAAUAAGAAGGGAAAUUCUGGCAUGAAGAUUGUCCACCCAGACGUUUUGGCACAAUUAGAGGAAAGAUUUGUUUAGCUUAGCACUGCUUUUAUUGGUAUGCAAGUCUAACCGAACCUGCAGAGGUAGUCUUUCCUUGUUGAAUGAUAGUGUUAGUGGUGUAGGUUUCCUUCAUGUUUCUCAGCUAUGCUUUUCUGCUCUUCUGCAAUUUGUGUUCUCCUGAAAUGCUCUGUUAGCAGUGAUUGUUUAAUGCAAUAGGACAAAAACAUAAAUUAGCAAAAAAUUCUAACAAGCCA